ACGAUAACGGCGUCGAGCGGCGGACGGGUGAGUAAUGCCUAGGAAAUUGCCCUGAUGUGGGGGAUAACCAUUGGAAACGAUGGCUAAUACCGCAUGAUGCCUACGGGCCAAAGAGGGGGACCUUCGGGCCUCUCGCGUCAGGAUAUGCCUAGGUGGGAUUAGCUAGUUGGUGAGGUAAGGGCUCACCAAGGCGACGAUCCCUAGCUGGUCUGAGAGGAUGAUCAGCCACACUGGAACUGAGACACGGUCCAGACUCCUACGGGAGGCAGCAGUGGGGAAUAUUGCACAAUGGGCGCAAGCCUGAUGCAGCCAUGCCGCGUGUGUGAAGAAGGCCUUCGGGUUGUAAAGCACUUUCAGUCGUGAGGAAGGUAGUGUAGUUAAUAGCUGCAUUAUUUGACGUUAGCGACAGA
rnacentral:rRNA from 1 species